rnacentral:rRNA from 1 species
AUUAGAGUUUGAUCUGGCUCAGGACGAACGCUGGCGGCGUGCCUAAUACAUGCAAGUCGAGCGGACAGGUGGGAGCUUGCUCCCUGAUGUUAGCGGCGGACGGGUGAGUAACACGUGGGUAACCUGCCUGUAAGACUGGGAUAACUCCGGGAAACCGGGGCUAAUACCGGAUGGUUGUUUGAACCGCAUGGUUCAAACAUAAAAGGUGGCUUCGGCUGCCACUUACAGAUGGACCCGCGGCGCAUUAGCUAGUUGGUGAGGUAACGGCUCACCAAGGCAACGAUGCGUAGCCGACCUGAGAGGGUGAUCGGCCACACUGGGACUGAGACACGGCCCAGACUCCUACGGGAGGCAGCAGUAGGGAAUCUUCCGCAAUGGACGAAAGUCUGACGGAGCAACGCCGCGUGAGUGAUGAAGGUUUUCGGAUCGUAAAGCUCUGUUGUUAGGGAAGAACAAGUACCGUUCGAAUAGGGCGGUACCUUGACGGUACCUAACCAGAAAGCCACGGCUAACUACGUGCCAGCAGCCGCGGUAAUACGUAGGUGGCAAGCGUUGUCCGGAAUUAUUGGGCGUAAAGGGCUCGCAGGCGGUUUCUUAAGUCUGAUGUGAAAGCCCCCGGCUCAACCGGGGAGGGUCAUUGGAAACUGGGGAACUUGAGUGCAGAAGAGGAGAGUGGAAUUCCACGUGUAGCGGUGAAAUGCGUAGAGAUGUGGAGGAACACCAGUGGCGAAGGCGACUCUCUGGUCUGUAACUGACGCUGAGGAGCGAAAGCGUGGGGAGCGAACAGGAUUAGAUACCCUGGUAGUCCACGCCGUAAACGAUGAGUGCUAAGUGUUUAGGGGGGUUUCCGCCCCUUAGUGCUGCAGCUAACGCAUUAAGCACUCCGGCCUGGGGAGUACGGUCGCAAGACUGAAACUCAAAGGAAUUGACGGGGGCCCGCACAAGCGGUGGAGCAUGGUGGUUUAAGUUCGAAGCAACGCGGAGGACCUUACCAGGUCUUGGACAUCCUCUGAACAAUCCUAGAGAUAGGACGUCCCCUUCGGGGGCAGAGUGACAGGUGGUGCAUGGUUGUCGUCAGCUCGUGUCGUGAGAUGUUGGGUUAAGUCCCGCAACGAGCGCAACCCUUGAUCUUAGUUGCCAGCAUUCAGUUGGGCACUCUAAGGUGACUGCCGGUGACAAACCGGAGGAAGGUGGGGAUGACGUCAAAUCAUCAUGCCCCUUAUGACCUGGGCUACACACGUGCUACAAUGGACAGAACAAAGGGUAGCGAAACCGCGAGGUUAAGCCAAUCCCACAAAUCUGUUCUCAGUUCGGAUCGCAGUCUGCAACUCGACUGCGUGAAGCUGGAAUCGCUAGUAAUCGCGGAUCAGCAUGCCGCGGUGAAUACGUUCCCGGGCCUUGUACACACCGCCCGUCACACCACGAGAGUUUGUAACACCCGAAGUCGGUGAGGUAACCUUUUAGGAGCCAGCCGCCGAAGGUGGGACAGAUGAUUGGGGUGAAGUCGUAACAAGGUAGCCGUAUCGGAAGGUGCGGCUGGAUCACCUCAAU